GACGAACGCUGGCGGCGUGCUUAACACAUGCAAGUCGAACGGUGACGAUCAAGCUUGCUUGGUCUGAUCAGUGGCGAACGGGUGAGUAACACGUGAGUAACCUGCCCCUGACUCUGGGAUAACCCCGGGAAACCGGAGCUAAUACCGGAUACGACACCAGCCCGCAUGGGCAUGGUGCGGAAAGUUUUUCGGUCUGGGAUGGACCCGCGGCCUAUCAGCUUGUUGGUGAGGUAAUGGCUCACCAAGGCGACGACGGGUAGCCGGCCUGAGAGGGCGACCGGCCACACUGGGACUGAGACACGGCCCAGACUCCUACGGGAGGCAGCAGUGGGGAAUACUGCACAAUGGGCGAAAGCCUGAUGCAGCGACGCCGCAUGAGGGAUGACGGCCUUCGGGUUGUAAACCUCUUUCAGCAGGGAAGAAGCGCAAGUGACGGUACCUGCAGAAGAAGCACCGGCUAACUACGUGCCAGCCGCCGCAGUAAAAC
rnacentral:rRNA from 1 species